GCAAGUCGAACGAAAUUUAAGGCAACUUAAAUUUAGUGGCGGAAGGGUUAGUAAUGCAUGGGUAAUGUACCUUAAACCUGGGGAUAACACUUGGAAACGAGUGCUAAUACCGAAUGUGAUUUAAAAAUGGCAUCAUUUUUAAAUCAAAGCGGGGGACUCUGAAAAGAGCCUUGUGGUUUGAGAGCAGCCCAUGUGGUAUCAGCUAGUUGGUGAGGUAAGAGCUCACCAAGGCUAAGACGCCUAGGCGGACUGAGAGGUCGAUC
rnacentral:rRNA from 1 species